CAAGAUUAAAACUCAAAUGAAUUGACGGGGGCCCGCACAAGCGGUGGAGCAUGUGGUUUAAUUCGAUGCAACGCGAAGAACCUUACCUACUCUUGACAUCUACAGAAGCCAGCGGAGACGCAGGUGUGCCUUCGGGAACUGUAAGACAGGUGCUGCAUGGCUGUCGUCAGCUCGUGUUGUGAAAUGUUGGGUUAAGUCCCGCAACGAGCGCAACCCUUAUCCUUGUUUGCCAGCACUUCGGGUGGGAACUCCAGGGAGACUGCCGGUGAUAAACCGGAGGAAGGUGGGGACGACGUCAAGUCAUCAUGGCCCUUACGAGUAGGGCUACACACGUGCUACAAUGGCGCAUACAGAGGGCGGCCAACUUGCGAAAGUGAGCGAAUCCCAAAAAGUGCGUCGUAGUCCGGAUUGGAGUCUGCAACUCGACUCCAUGAAGUCGGAAUCGCUAGUAAUCGUGGAUCAGAAUGCCACGGUGAAUACGUUCCCGGGCCUUGUACACACCGCCCGUCACACCAUGGGAGUGGGCUGCAAAAGAAGUGGGUAGUUUAACCUUCGGGAGGACGCUCACCACUUUGUGGUUCAUGACUGGGGUGAAGUGGUAACAAGGUAACCG
rnacentral:rRNA from 1 species